GUGAAUCAUCGAAUUUUUGAACGCAAAUUGCACUCUCUGGUAUUCCGGAGAGUAUGCCUGUUCGAGGGUCAGUUUAAAUAAAAAUCGGUGUGUUUGCGGCCUUUCGUGGUGACGCACCGGAUUUGGGUCGUAUUGCCUUCGGUUAAGAUGCUUAACAUUUUGCAUGAUAUUUUUCUUGGGUAUUUAAAUGAUUUUACGUACGUUUACGUAAUCGAGUACUAAUGGCGGUCAUCG
rnacentral:misc_RNA from 1 species